rnacentral:rRNA from 2 species
ACAUGCAGUCGAGCGGGCGAGGUUGCUUCGGUAACUGAGCUAGCGGCGGACGGGUGAGUAAAGCUUAGGAAUCUGCCUAUUAGUGGGGGACAACAUUCCGAAAGGGAUGCUAAUACCGCAUACGUCCUACGGGAGAAAGCAGGGGAUCACUUGUGACCUUGCGCUAAUAGAUGAGCCUAAGUCGGAUUAGCUAGUUGGUGGGGUAAAGGCCUACCAAGGCGACGAUCUGUAGCGGGUCUGAGAGGAUGAUCCGCCACACUGGGACUGASACACGGCCCAGACUCCUACGGGAGGCAGCAGUGGGGAAUAUUGGACAAUGGGGGGAACCCUGAUCCAGCCAUGCCGCGUGUGUGAAGAAGGCCUUUUGGUUGUAAAGCACUUUAAGCGAGGAGGAGGCUUACCUGGUUAAUACCUGGGAUAAGUGGACGUUACUCGCAGAAUAAGCACCGGCUAACUCUGUGCCAGCAGCCGCGGUAAUACAGAGGGUGCGAGCGUUAAUCGGAUUUACUGGGCGUAAAGCGCGCGUAGGUGGUUAAUUAAGUCAAAUGUGAAAUCCCCGAGCUUAACUUGGGAAUUGCAUUCGAUACUGGUUAGCUAGAGUAUGGGAAGAGGAUGGUAGAAUUUCCRAGUUGUAGCGGUGAAAUGCGUAAGAAGAUUCUGGGAGGAAUUACCGGAUGGCAAAGGCAGCCAUCUUGGCCUAAUACUGAACCUGRAGGGUGCGAAAGCAUGGGGGAAGCCAAACCAGGA